CCUACGGGAGGCAGCAGUCGGGAAUAUUGCGCAAUGGAGGAAACUCUGACGCAGUCACGUCGCGUGCAGGAAGACGGUUUUAUGAAUGUAAACUGCUUUAGACCGGGAAGCAAAAAGACAGUAUCUGUAGAAUAAGCUACGGCUAACUCAGUGCGAGCAGCCGCGGUCAAACGUAGGGAGCAAGCGUUAUCCGAAUUUAUUGGGUGUAUAGGGGGUGUAGACGGGGAAGCAAGUUAGUUGGGAAAUCCCACGGCUUAACUGAGGAACUGCAGCUAAAACUACUUUCCUUGAGUACUUGAGAGGAAAGUGGAAGUCGUGGUGUAGCGGUGAAAUGCGUAGAUAUUAGGCAGAACACCAGUGGCGAAGGCGGCUUUCUGGACAGUAACUGACGUUGAGGCACGAAAGUGUGGGUAGCAAACAGGAUUAGAUACCCCAGUAGUC
rnacentral:rRNA from 1 species